rnacentral:rRNA from 1 species
AUUGAACGCUGGCAGCAGGCCUAACACAUGCAAGUCGAGCGGAUGAAGGGAGCUUGCUCCUGGAUUCAGCGGCGGACGGGUGAGUAAUGCCUAGGAAUCUGCCUGGUAGUGGGGGAUAACGUCCGGAAACGGGCGCUAAUACCGCAUACGUCCUGAGGGAGAAAGUGGGGGAUCUUCGGACCUCACGCUAUCAGAUGAGCCUAGGUCGGAUUAGCUAGUUGGUGGGGUAAAGGCCUACCAAGGCGACGAUCCGUAACUGGUCUGAGAGGAUGAUCAGUCACACUGGAACUGAGACACGGUCCAGACUCCUACGGGAGGAAGCAGUGGGGAAUAUUGGACAAUGAGCGAAAGCCUGAUCCAGCCAUGCCGCGUGUGUGAAGAAGGUCUUCGGAUUGUAAAGCACUUUAAGUUGGGAGGAAGGGCAGUAAGUUAAUACCUUGCUGUUUUGACGUUACCAACAGAAUAAGCACCGGCUAACUUCGUG